UGUUAAAUGAAUUAUCAUACCAUUGGUCGAAGCAACCCAAGUUUGGACUCGCAGACUCUAUCCAAGUCCGGGUCUAGGUCCCAAGUGUGAAGCAACGAUAUGAGAAUCGGCGGGGCCCGCUAGCUGAUGACGUACCGCGGGCGGUGCGGGGUGGGGCCCACUAGGUGAUGACGUACCGCGGGCGGUGCGGUGUGGGGCCCACUAGGUGAUGACGUACCGCGGGCGGUGCGGUGUGGGGCCCACUAGGUGAUGACGUACCGCGGGCGGUGCGGUGUGGGGCCCACUAGGUGAUGACGUACCGCGGGCGGUGCGGUGUGGGGCCCACUAGGUGAUGACGUACCGCGGGCGGUGCGGUGUGGGGCCCACUAGGUGAUGACGUACCGCGGGCGGUGCGGUGUGGGGCCCACUAGGUGAUGACGUACCGCGGGCGGUGCGGUGUGGGGCCCACUAGGUGAUGACGUACCGCGGGCGGUGCGGUGUGGGGCCCACUAGGUGAUGACGUACCGCGGGCGGUGCGGUGUGGGGCCCACUAGGUGAUGAUGUACCGCGGGCGGGGCGGCGCGGGGCGGCCUCAGGAGCGCGGCACGGGGCGGCGCAGCAGCAGCGCGGAGUCGGCCGACACGAUGGGCAGCUCGUUGCUGCAGUGGUACU